AACAACAUAUUGAGGUGUAAGGAGGAAUAAGGAGGGAAAGAGUAUAAUUAUAAAUACUUCUAUUUCUACAUCCCUUAAUUUUAACUCUACUUCACCCCUUCCCAAACAUAAAAAAAUAUGUUUACUCUCCUUAACUUUCCAUUAAUUCACUCUUUCUCAAACAUGAGAUUUAUUUUAUUAUAACUCUUCUUACACUUUCCCUCCCUUACCCUUACUUAGCCCUUACCCUUCUAUUGUUUACCCUUCCCUCACCUCACCCAAACAUACCCUAAGGGGCAUGGAAAUGAAAUCCGCAUAUGAGUCAAGGCGGUAUAAAAUUUACUGAAUAAUGCAUAGCACUUUCUCUACCACCAACUCUGUCAGAGGCUUGAAUUACAAAUCGCAACUAAUGCCAACUUCACAUAACCUUUUGAUUAGUUUUGAAACAGAUCACGGUCCUAAUGAAAGCAGAUAUAUUAAUUCACAUUAAUACUUGAAACAAAA
rnacentral:misc_RNA from 1 species